AACGCGAAGAACCUUACCAAGGCUUGACAUAUAGCGAAAAGUGGCAGAGAUGUCAUGUCCGCAAGGGCGCUAUACAGGUGGUGCAUGGUUGUCGUCAGCUCGUGUCGUGAGAUGUUGGGUUAAGUCCCGCAACGAGCGCAACCCUCGUUCUGUGUUACCAGCAUUCAGUUGGGGACUCACAGGAGACUGCCGGGGUUAACUCGGAGGAAGGUGGGGAUGACGUCAAAUCAUCAUGCCCCUUACGUCUUGGGCUGCACGCAUGCUACAAUGGCCGGUACAAAGUGCUGCGAAAUCGUAAGAUUUAGCGAAUCACAUAAAGCCGGUCUCAGUUCGUAUUGAGGUCUGCAACUCGACCUCAUGAAGUUGGAGUUGCUAGUAAUCGUAGAUCAGCAACGCUACGGUGAAUACGUUCCCGGGUCUUGUACACACCG
rnacentral:rRNA from 1 species